rnacentral:rRNA from 1 species
CACGUAGGGGGCGAGCGUUGUUCGGAAUUACUGGGCGUAAAGGGCAUGUAGGCGGUCUUGUAAGCCUGACGUGAAAGGCUAUGGCUUAACCAUGGCACUGCGUUGGGAACUGCGAGACUUGAAUCACGGAGGGGGAACUGGAAUUCCGGGUGUAGGGGUGAAAUCUGUAGAUAUCUGGAAGAACACCAGUGGCGAAGGCGAGUUCCUGGCCGAUGAUUGACGCUGAGGUGCGAAAGUGUGGGGAUCAAACAGGAUUAGAGACCCUGGUAGUCCACACUGUCAACGAUGUGCACUAGGUGCUGGGGCGGAUGUUUCAGUGCCGGAGCUAACGCGGUAAGUGCACCGCCUGGGGAGUACGGCCGCAAGGCUAAA